GACGAACGCUGGCGGCGUGCUUAACACAUGCAAGUCGAACGGUGAUGCUCCAGCUUGCUGGAGUGGAUCAGUGGCGAACUGGUGAGUAACACGUGAGCAACCUGCCCCAGACUCUGGAAUAAGCGCUGGAAACGGCGUCUAAUACUGGAUACGAAACUGGCCCGCAUGGGCAUGGUUUGGAAAGUUUUUCGGUUUGGGAUGGGCUCGCGGCCUAUCAGCUUGUUGGUGAGGUAAUGGCUCACCAAGGCGACGACGGGUAGCCGGCCUGAGAGGGCGACCGGCCACACUGGGACUGAGACACGGCCCAGACUCCUACGGGAGGCAGCAGUGGGGAAUAUUGCACAAUGGGCGAAAGCCUGAUGCAGCGACGCCGCGUGAGGGAUGACGGCCUUCGGGUUGUAAACCUCUUUCAGCAGGGAAGAAGCGAAAGUGACGGUACCUGCAGAAGAAGCACCGGCUAACUACGUG
rnacentral:rRNA from 1 species